GCAUGCAAAAUCCAGGGGUUUCAGCCUCCUCAGCCCCCAUUUCUGAUGAUGUCAAUGAGAACGUUUCCCCUACAGAUCUCUGAGCUGGUUUAUGAACUUCUAGCUCUUCUCAUGGUAAAUAAUUCUUCUGCAAAAUAACUUAUUUAUGUUGUUUUUGAAGGAUGUUUCUAAACCCACGUUAUGUUUUAAUGGUGAUGCUCGUAAAAACUCAACCUUCUUUUCCAGAACCCGCUUAAUUCCAUGGUUUUUUCCAUCAGGGCGCAGGUCAGGGAUGGAGGAGAAUUCAGCUUGGCAGCUCAGAAGGUUGAUACCCCAAUUCUGCUCCCAGACCUGGCACUGACUCAUCGCACGGCCUCGAUUCUCGGUGUGACCCUGAUUUCCCAAUGUGUGAGCCAAGGCCCUGCUGUGCCCUCAGCGCUGCUCCUGGGCCAAGGGAGGGGUGGGCAGCACCUCCCCAGCCCCCAGUCUGCCUGGUUUGCUGCUCUUUUCAGCCUUCUCGCAGGGAUUUUGGAGACAACUCUUUUCAAGUGACUUUUUUGUCACCACGGCAGGGAAAGAGGAAGCAGAGAUUGACAAUGUGCAGACGAGGCAAAAUCUGCAUGAUGUGAUUUAAUAGAACAAUAAGCAGCUGCUGGAGCCUUCCACUCGUGCUCUCAGAAGAAGCACAGGGAGAUCUCUGACGACACGACAGGGCAAAGAAUGGUGAGGAGAAGACACAGUGAGGUUCUUAUCUGGAGCGUGGUUCUGCAGCUACAGAUUUGCCUGAAUUCAGUGAGAUCGCUCCAAACCCUUUGGAGGAGCUCGAGCACCGAGGGGAAGGGAUGAUUUUAGUCAGAAAAGUUAUUUUCCAUCAAAAAAAGAAAAACUGAGGGGAUGUUUUCACCUGCCAGCAUGGGAAGCACAUGG